AGAAAAUUGAGGCAAAGAGAAGUUAAGAAGCUGCUCAAGAUCACACAGCCAGUAAAUGGUAACCCAGGCAGUCCAACUGCAGAGGUCAACUUUCAACAACCCUGUGAUGAUGCUUCUCUUUGAGGGUUGGUGACUGAGGGGAGAAGAGAAGGAGAAUGAAGAAGGUCUACAGGUUCUGAGAGCAAAGCAAAUAAUUGCCACCAAUGCUCCAAAGCUGAAGACAACAGACAUCAAGGAACCCCCAUCAUUUAAACAGAAUCGGUGAGCUACUGAGAGGCAACAGAACUGGCAUUGCUCCUCCAAGCAUCAGUCUCCCAUCCUUUCCUUCUCCCUACUGCAUUAUCUACAUAUUAUGUGUUGUACGUAAACUAGAGGAACA